GGCAGGGGAACCUAGACAUUCAGCCUGCACCUACGUGAGAUCCAUGGCCUCGGGCAGCCCGCUAGCUGCAGCCCCUCACAGCAGGAGGGCUCCUGGCUUUACUCUGUAGGACACAUGACUCGGUGCCUGCUAUGGACCAGCUGGGCUCAUAGGUGAAUUAGGUCCCAGGGAGGUGUACAGGGUUGCCAGGGGACACUAUUCCUUUAUAUCACUUCCACAUCAUGAUGGGCACCGUGGGGACAUGUAGGCUGAACAUGCAGUGUGUACAAAAUCGAAUGCUGCAGGUGGAAUGUUCUAAUCAAUAAUCAGAGACUAAUGUGGAAUCCUGCGGGAUACGAUGCAUUCUGCACACUGCAGGGCAGAGCUUUUAAUAUGAUGAACUGAUGUGUUUAGUAAAACAUUUUGGAUAUGGCAUCUCUCAGUGUGUAACCCAUACAGUACAUGAGCGUUGGAACCCAACGCUUUUAUCAUCCCCCUCUAUUAAGGAGUUAAUCAAAUACCUUUUUUGUAUAAAGGCAACAGAG